rnacentral:rRNA from 1 species
UGCAGUCGAGGGGCAGCACAGAUUGCUUGCAAUCAGGUGGCGACCGGCGCACGGGUGCGUAACGCGUAUACAAUCUACCUUAUAGAGGGGGAUAGCCCAGAGAAAUUUGGAUUAAUACCCCAUAGUAUUAUUGAAUAGCAUUAUUUAAUAAUUAAACAUUUAUGGCUAUAAGAUGAGUAUGCGUUCUAUUAGCUAGUAGGUAAGGUAACGGCUUACCUAGGCUACGAUAGAUAGGGGUCCUGAGAGGGAGAUCCCCCACACUGGUACUGAGACACGGACCAGACUCCUACGGGAGGCAGCAGUGAGGAAUAUUGGACAAUGGGCGAGAGCCUGAUCCAGCCAUGCCGCGUGCAGGAAGACGGCCCUAUGGGUUGUAAACUGCUUUUAUAGAGGAAGAAACACUCCUACGUGUAGGAAUUUGACGGUACUCUACGAAUAAGGAUCGGCUAACUCCGUGCCAGCAGCCGCGGUAAUACGGAGGAUCCAAGCGUUAUCCGGAAUCAUUGGGUUUAAAGGGUCCGUAGGCGGGACAAUCAGUCAGCGGUGAAAGUCUGUGGCUCAACCAUAGAAUUGCCAUUGAUACUGUUGUUCUUGAAUACUUAUGAAGUGGUUGGAAUAUGUAGUGUAGCGGUGAAAUGCAUAGAUAUUACAUAGAACACCGAUUGCGAAGGCAGAUCACUAAUAAGUCAUUGACGCUGAUGGACGAAAGCGUAGGUAGCGAACAGGAUUAGAUACCCUGGUAGUCUACGCCGU